rnacentral:lncRNA from 1 species
GCAUUUUUAGUUUCUGGAAGGAAUUACUUAAUAUUUAGUUACUCAAUCAAGACAUGCUGCAAGCACGGAGGUUAAAGUUACAAUGCCUAAGAAGAUAGCCUCUUUCACAUUUUAAGUUCAUGCUGUAGCAAAAACAUGAAACAGCACGAAGAAAAUAGCCUCUUUCACAUUUAAGUUCAUGCUGUAGCAAAAACAUGAAACAGCAGCCAGUGAACCAAUAAUGCGUUUUGCAUGAAACCAGCAGCGACUGAACCAAUAAUGCUGUUUGAAUUCUAAAUGCACGUUAUUACUAAUACAGUUUGAGGCACAUUUGCCAGAAUAACAACUAUUUUUCUUUUUUAUCGCAGUGUCAUAGAGGUAAUUGUCAUUGGUAGGAUAGUUAAAAAUCGCAAGAACAACCAUAGAAAUAUAAAAGGACAUAAAAAAGUGCGAGAAAAAUCAGAUAAUUUCUAACAAUUGAUAGCAUAUAACUUUCAGGCAUCAUUAUCAUGUUCACUGGAGUAGAUAAUUCCAAUAAAAUAGUUGUCGCUUCUUGAAUAUAUUCCCUCUUUAAAAGCACUUAAAUAAAAAUCAUAUAAAAGUGGGAGCAGCAAUGAUAGCACUCUGGCAGUAAGGAAAUGAUAUUCAGAAACGUGGGGUAGCAAGAGUGGGGUUAUGGUGAAAAUAUGCUCAUCAAAGAGGAGAGAAAGCAAACAGUAAGCAACAACAGCUUACUUCUACUUCAAUGCUCUACCAGCAUCCCCAAUAAAAAUUAUACCAGGAUAGAAAGUACAACAUGAUCUUAUUUUUAGUCUUCCCAGGUGAUAAUGGAUGGGCUUGUUUAAUUCUAAUAAUCACGAUUCAUAAGAAUAUGGAAAGUGGAAUAGUUGCAACUCAAUGGGAUGCAUAGUUUGGAACAAAGAAAAAAAAAC